UAUAUAUAUAUAUAUAUAAAUAUUUAUAUAUAUAUAUAUAUAUAUAUAUACAUAUAUCUUCCAUUUUCAUUUGCAGUUAUUAUUAGCUGCAAGAAUCCUACUUCCACUUAACAUCGAUUUCACUGUCAAAUCUUGCACAAACCAAAGAGUUCUAUUCGACCAUCCUCGCCGAUGGCGGUUUCAGCCUCCGACGUGGCAGUGAUGUACUCGUUGCUCGCGAAUUCCAUGAGCGCCGAUCACCGCCUACGUGGCCCUGCAGAGGAUACCCUUGCUCAAUUGGAGUCCAGGCCUGGCUUCUGCUCCUGCCUCCUCGAAGUGAUUAUGGCCAAGGAUUUGGCGUCGCAGGCGGAUGUGCGAAUGAUGGCCACCGUAUAUUUCAAGAACAGCAUCAAUCGCUAUUGGCGCCAUCGCCGCGAUUCCUGGGGAAUUGGCAAUGAGGAGAAAAUGCAUCUGAGGCAGAAGUUGUUGAUGCACCUGAGAGAAGAGAAUGAUCAGAUAGCUCUGAUGUUGGCAGUGCUUAUCUCCAAAAUUGCUCGCAUUGAUUAUCCCAAAGAAUGGUCAGACAUCUUUUUGGUUUUGUCACAACAACUUCAAUCAGCAGAUGUUCUUGCCUCCCACCGAAUCUUUUUGAUUCUAUUUAGGACCUUAAAGGAGUUGUCCACAAAACGCCUUACAUUGGACCAACGCAACUAUGCAGAGAUAUCAUCCCAUUUCUUUGAUUAUAGCUGGCGCCUUUGGCAAAGUGAUGUGCAGACAAUACUGCAUGGUUUCUCAGCUCUUUCUCAAAGCUAUAAUUUAAAUGCUGAAGAUCAGCAUCAUGAACUUUAUCUUACAUGUGAGAGAUGGUUGUUAUGUUCAAAGAUUGUACGGCAAUUAGUUAUUUCUGGAUUUCAAAGCGAUUCAAAGUGUUUUCAGGAGGUUCGGCCAGUCAAGGAAGUCUCACCUGGGCUCUUAAGUGCCAUUCAAUCAUUCCUUCCAUACUAUUCAUCUUUUCAGAAGCAAUAUCCUAAAUUUUGCGACAUUGUAAAGAGGGCAUGUACCAAAUUGAUGAAAAUUUUAGUUGCCUUUCAUGGACGACAUCCUUACUCAUUUGGUGAUAAAUUUGUGCUUUCAUCAGUCAUGGACUUCUGUUUGAAUAGGAUAACAGAUCCUGAGCCAAAUUUGUUGUCAUUUGAGCAAUUUCUCAUUCAAUGUAUGGUAAUGAUUAAGAAUAUUCUGGAAUGUAAGGAAUACAAGCCAAGUCUUACUGGUCGGGUGAUGGAUGAAAAUGGAGUUACGCUAGAGCUGAUGAAGAAAAACAUUUCCAAUGCAGUUGGUGGUGUUUUAACUUCCCUUCUUCCCAAUGAAAGGAUUGUCCACUUGUGUAAUGUAUUGAUUACAAGGUAUUUUGUUCUGACAGCAAGUGAUUUGGAGGAGUGGUACCGCAACCCGGAGUCUUUUCACCAUGAGCAGGAUAUGGUUCAGUGGACAGAAAAAUUGAGACCAUGUGCUGAAGCUUUGUACAUCGUGUUGUUUGAAACUAAUAGCCAAUUGUUAGGUCCUGUUGUGGUUUCUCUUCUUCAUGAGAGUAUGAAUAAUUGUCCAACUUCAGUAACAGAAAUUGCUCCUGCAUUGCUUCUUAAAGAUGCUACAUAUGGUGCUGCAGCUUAUGUUUAUUAUGAGCUCUCAAACUACCUGAGCUUUAAAGACUGGUUUAAUGGUGCUCUAUCACUUGAACUCUCAAAUGAAAAUCCAAAUUUAGGCAUCAUUCAUCGUAAAGUUGCUGUAAUUUUAGGGCAGUGGGUUUCUGAGGUGAAAGAUGAUACAAAAAGGCCUGUAUACUGUGCUUUAAUCAGAUUGUUACAGGGCAAAGAUUUAUCUGUCCGGCUGGCAGCCUGUCGAUCCCUAUGUUUACAUGUUGAAGAUGCAAACUUUUCAGAGAGGGAGUUUGUUGAUCUUCUUCCUAUCUGUUGGGACUCAUGUUUUAAGUUGUUUGAGGAAGUUCAGGAAUUUGACUCAAAGGUUCAGGUUUUGAAUCUAAUCUCUACCCUUAUCGGACAUGUUAGUGAAGUUAUUCCAUUUGCUAACAAGCUGGUGCAAUUUUUUCAGAAGGUCUGGGAGGAAUCUUCUGGUGAAAGUCUGCUGCGGAUUCAGCUUCUUGUUGCUAUGAGAAAUUUUGUGGUUGCACUUGGUUACCAGUCACCCAUUUGCUACAAUAUACUGCUACCAAUUCUGGAGAAUGGGAUUGAUAUUAAUAGUCCAGAUGAAAUCAAUCUUCUGGAAGAUAGCAUGCUGUUAUGGGAGGCCACACUUUCCCAAGCACCAUCAAUGGUGCCUCAAUUGUUGCAAUAUUUUCCACGUCUUGUGGAGAUUAUGGAAAGAAACUUUGACCAUUUACAGGUUGCGGUGAACAUAAUUGAAGAUUACAUAAUUUUGGGUGGAAAUGACUUUUUGAGCGUGCAUGCAACAAAUAUUGCUAAAAUUCUUGAUUUAGUUGUGGGAAAUGUCAAUGACAAAGGUCUACUUUCAGUUCUUCCUGUAGUUGAUAUCUUAAUACAGUGUUUCCCCACAGAGGUGCCACAAUUUAUUAGCAGUACAUUACAAAAAUUAAUUGUAAUAUGUUUUGGCGGAGGAGAUGAUCGCGACCCUUCUAAAGCAUCUGUUAAAGCAUAUGCUGCUGCAAUCCUGGCUAGGCUUUUGGUGAUGAAUACAAAUUCACUUGCCCAACUAGCAUCUGAUCCAUCAACUUCUCUACUGCUUCAGACAGCAUCUAUCCCAGUUCAAGAAAAUAUACUUCUUUGUCUGGUUGACAUUUGGGUUGAUAAGGUGGAUAAUGUUUCUUCCAUCCAGAAGAAGACAAUUGGCUUAGCCCUCUCAAUAAUUCUGACAUUAAGGCUGCCUCAAGUACUUGACAAACUCGAUCAAAUUUUGAGUGUUUGCACUAGUGUAAUUUUGGGCAGAAAUGAUGACUUAGCUGAGGAAGAGUCCAGUGGUGACAUGAGCUCCAGUACAUCCCCUGAUGAGGGCACUAUUCCUAGUAAAGAAUUCAGAAAAAGACAGAUCAAAUUUUCAGACCGUAUCAAUCAGCUAUGUCUUGAGGAUUGUGUGAGAGAAAAUCUACAAACAUGUGCUGCUAUUCAUGGAGAAUCAUUUAAUGCUGCAAUGAGCAGCAUGCAUCCAUCUGCAUUUGCACAAUUGAAGCAAGCAUUAAAGAUGCCAUGACGGGGUGUGACAUUUUAAUUCAUUUGAUCUGGUGGUGCUAUGUGCAGGCUCAGUUUUUGUGUUCAUAGAUUGAUACUUAUAGGGAUGAUAUUGAAGCUUAUUACUUGGACUGGUGAUUUUUGACACACUUGUUUAGAAUUGUUUCUAGGCCAUGUUUUUUUCCCAUUAUAAUCAUUUUAAUUUGUCUAUGCCUGUUGGCAGCGUGAAACUCAGUAAAUAGGAUGCUGUUCCUUUACUAUAUAUAAAAAGGAGCAGCAUCGAGUCCAUAGUGUUCAUUUACUCUGCUCAGAUUGACAGGAAACAUGAAAUGCUUGUAAUGCUGUUUUGCACACAUUCGGAUGGAUAGUGCAAAUUUUACCGAAAGUUUUAUGAAUUGCAGGUUUUACCUUGGGUAAUCUUUAUAUGCACGACACUCUUUCUGGCG